UGGGAUGGCUCAGUUGGUACAGCAUAAGACUCUUAAUCUUACGGUUGUGGGUUUCUAGACCCACAUUGGGCAAAA